CAGCCGCCGCGGUAAUGCGUAGGUGGCAAGCGUUGUCCGGAAUUAUUGGGCGUAAAGGGCUCGCAGGCGGUUUCUUAAGUCUGAUGUGAAAGCCCCCGGCUCAACCGGGGAGGGUCAUUGGAAACUGGGAAACUUGAGUGCAGAAGAGGAGAGUGGAAUUCCACGUGUAGCGGUGAAAUGCGUAGAGAUGUGGAGGAACACCAGUGGCGAAGGCGACUCUCUGGUCUGUAACUGACGCUGAGGAGCGAGAGCGUGGGGAGCAAACAGGAUUAGAUACCCGGGUAGUCCCUGUCUCUUAUAC
rnacentral:rRNA from 1 species